ensembl:lncRNA
GCUCUUUCUAAUAGGGUCAACGACAAAUAAUAGCCAGGCUACUUCAUAAUAUGGAAGUUUUCAAAUACCCUGUUUUCUUCGAGUGCCAGACUCUGGACCCACCACAGAAACAUAUGAUAAAAAGGUACUUUGGAGUUAAACGUAAAUCCGGUGGCGGAGAUUGUGGACCAGUAGAAUCAGUUGGUGACAAAGUCUACAAGAUCGCAUUUAUUGACCAGACAGUCCAGGAGAGGGUACUUCAGAAACCUAAUCAUGUUUUGGAGAUGCCUGGAGGACCUCUCUUCCUCACUCUGAGAGACAGCCUGGAGCCACCACCCACAACAACCUCCCCAGUCAGUAGUCAGAGUCACCACUCCCUCACGGUCGAGACAUCUCCACCUGGUGGUCAUGAACAUGUACUCCAUCGUCUGAGCACAGGGAAGCAGGAGAAGAUCAGGACCACCUGUCAUCUGGGACAGGUCCAGCUCCUUCUUCUAGGUGAAGUGAUAGAGAAGGAUCUAGGGGAGGUUGUUCCAGGGGUGAAGGUGACACGCGGUGACUCAACUCAGCUGGUGCUGCACGGCUAUGCAAAUGAAGUCCAGGCAGCCAGACAGUUAGUUACAGAUAAAAUCUCUCUGGUGCUGGAGCGGGUGGUGCCUGAGGUGUCCCCCCAC